rnacentral:snRNA from 1 species
UUUCCUUCUCCAGGCUUAGAUUAUGUGUAGUAUCUGCUCUUUUCAGUUUAAUGUCUGAAAACCGUUUUAAGGAACGAGACAUUAAGAUAGACUUUGAAUUCUGUGGGAAGGGACUUUGUGCUUGCACAUGUCCUACCAUACAGUGUCGUUGGGCUUACACAACCUUCCAAUAGAUGUGAAGACUC